GUACUGAGGUUUCUCUUCAUCAAGCGAGUUAACCUUUCGCCUUUUACUAAAGAUUACCGUGGAGAGGAACAUUUUAAGGAACCUAAGCUCAAUUUUUGGGAACUAACCGAAUGGUGGGAU